UCCGUAGGGGGCAAUCGUUGUUCGGAUUUACUGGGCGUAAAGGGCGCGUAGGCGGCGCGUAAAGUCGGACAUGAAAUCAUUAGGCUCAACCUAAUGGCUGUGUCCGAUACUUACGUGCUUGGAGUGCGGGAGAGGCAGCCGGAAUUCUCGGUGUAGCGGUGAAAUGCGUAGAUAUCGAGAGGAACACCGGUGACGAAGGUGGGUUGCUGGACCGACACUGACGCUGAGGCGCGAAAGCUAGGGGAGAAAACGGG
rnacentral:rRNA from 1 species